rnacentral:rRNA from 1 species
UACAGAGGUCCCAAGCGUUGUUCGGAUUCACUGGGCGUAAAGGGUGCGUAGGCGGUCGGGCAAGUCUGAUGUGAAAGCCCCGAGCUCAACUCGGAAAUGGCAUCGGAAACUGCUCGGCUAGAGGAGUGGAGGGGGGAUUGGAAUUCUCGGUGUAGCAGUGAAAUGCGUAGAUAUCGAGAGGAACACCCGUGGCGAAGGCAAAUCCCUGGACACCUCCUGACGCUGAGGCACGAAAGCUAGGGGAGCAAACAGG